CUCAGAUCCAUUCCAUCGAAGAGAAAGAAAAAGAAAAACUGAAAAAGGAAGAAGGCGGCGACUCGACCCAGCCAGUGGAAUCGACAUCUUCUUCUCUACUCGUCACAGAGGUAUUUUGAGUCGGUUCUUCUUUUCUUUGUAGUUGCUGCUGCUGACUGUAUCUUCUUUUCUUCUUUUCUUAUGGAGACUGUAUUUUGUUUUUGCAUUGAAUAAUUAGAACAUGACGGAUGAAAUAUCAAUUUUGCUAUUUGUUAUUUUUAAUUUAUAUUAUUUUAAUCUCCGUAUCGGGACGUACCUGUUUCCUAGUUUUUGACGUAUCGGCUUAUCGUAUUGUAUCCGUACCGGUACCGGUGCAACAUAGAUAAACAUACAAAUUUAUGUUUGUAUAGAGAAGAAACAACAAAGUCAAAAUAUUUUUCAUAACGUUUUGAGGUUGUUCUCAAAAGCAAAUCUGGUGCCAAACAAGAGAAGAUGCAAUGGGAGUCUCCCGUGGACCAAGGCUUUCUGGGAUUCAGAAACAAGUCCUUAGUCUAUACAGAGGGUUUCUGAGGGCAGCCCGUGCAAAAUCUGCUGAAGAUCGACAGCAGAUUGAGUCACUUGUGUCAAGUGAGUUUCGCCGCAAUGCCAAGGAGGUAGACCGCAAAAAUUUCCUUUACAUUGAGUACCUGCUUCGCCGUGCUAAGAAACAGCUUGAUCAGCUCAGGAGCUCCGAUGUUGUUGGAUUGUCAGCCCUGAAUGUCAGUUUCUCGCAGACAAAACAUCCUACAAAUUGAAGUAAGAAUUUCAUCUAUUCUUAUUUACUUGUCGAGCCAAAUUUAGUUUGAUCCAUUGUUUAAACAGGGUAACAGAGGAAAAUAAAUUUUUGGCUGAAUUUUCCAUGUUGCUAUAAAAUCUCAAUGUAAGCUAUUCAGAAAGCUCUAAAUUGUGCGAUUCAUUGAUGGUCAUGGUCUUCUAAGGCUAUGUGUAUUGACUGUCUUCCAG
rnacentral:lncRNA from 1 species